AUGAAUUUCUUCAUCGUCUUCAUUUGGAUUCUGGGAGUUUUUAUUCCAGAAUCCAGAGGAGUUACUGUAACUCAGAGUAAAGCUCAAUCUGUUUCUGUUGGACAAACCGUCAAUAUAAAGUGUACAACUGAUACUGGAAUAAGUGGCUGGGGUUUAUCUUGGUAUCAGCAGAAACCUGGAGAAGCUCCUAAACUCAUCAUUUAUGGAGCAGAUGUUCGUUAUGGUGACACUGCAGAUCGAUUUAGUGGCAGUGGAUCAUCUGGUGGUAAAGAUUUUACUCUGAGCAUCAGUGGAGUUCAGACUGAAGAUGCAGGAGAUUAUUACUGUCAGAGUUAUCACAGUGGUGGUGUGUUCACACAGUGA